AUACGGAGGGUGCAAGCGUUAAUCGGAAUUACUGGGCGUAAAGCGCGCGUAGGCGGUUUAGUCAGUCAGAUGUGAAAGCCCCGGGCUCAACCUGGGAACUGCAUUUGAUACUGCUGAACUAGAGUAUGGUAGAGGGAAGUGGAAUUCCGGGUGUAGCGGCGAAAUGCGUAGACAUCCGGAGGAACACCAGUGGCGAAGGCGACUUCCUGGACCAAUACUGACGCUGAGGUGCGAAAGCGUGGGUAGCAAACAGGAUUAGAAACCCGGGUAGUCC
rnacentral:rRNA from 1 species